AACAGCUAAUGGAAUGGGUGAAAGAACAUCGUGACACACUUGACGCAUUGAAAAGAUGCCGAGACUACAACAAUGUUGCAAUCAAACUUGCAAAUC